GACGAACGCUGGCGGCGUGCUUAACACAUGCAAGUCGAACGAAGUGGCGAACGGGUGAGUAACGCGUAAUCAACCUGCCCUUCAGAGGGGGACAACAGUUGGAAACGACUGCUAAUACCGCAUACUGAAGGAGGGGAUUGCGUGUGAUUAGCUAGUUGGAGGGGUAACGGCCCACAAAGGUGAUGAUCAGUAGCCGGUCUGAGAGGAUGAACGGCCAAAUUGGGAAGGAGAAACGGCCCAGACCCCGAAGGUAGGCAGCAGGGGGGAAUCUUCGGGAAUGGGGGGAACCCUGACCGAGCAACGCCGCGUGAGUGAAGAAGGUUUUCGGAUCGUAAAGCUCUGUUGUUAAGGAAGCGGUACUUAACCAGAAAGGGACGGCUAACUACGUGCCAGCAGCCGCGGUAAUAC
rnacentral:rRNA from 1 species